rnacentral:misc_RNA from 1 species
AACGCACGAGACCUGCGGACCUGCGGAGGGAUCAUUAACAAUUGUCCACAUCAUGGAUAAUUAUAUAUCCAUAUCCACCUUGUGUGCAUCAUUGAAGCGUUUGUUGGCAGGUUUUUCAAGUUCUCUGAGCUUGAUUCGGUUGUAUUUGCCAGGCCUGCCAAUUUUAUGUUUAAAACUUGUCUCAACAUUGCUUGUCUGAAAUUGAUUUAUGAUAAUAAAUACAACUUUCAACAAUGGAUC